AAGAGGAGCAAAAUAGUCCUUCAUCAGUACUAAAAGCUAUCUUGAAGCUCUUAUUAAACUGCCAGUGCAGAUAGUCUCCACUUCUACUAUUUUGUUACAACACUUUGAAACUAUAAUCUGCACACAGCAAGGAAUGUGAAUGCCUGUGCUACAUCAGUUGUGUAAAAUAGCAUUCAUUUCUUUUUCUAGAGAAGUACUGUUAGCAGUAUUCUAAGUAGUACAUGCUCUCCCAGUUUGAUUAAAGUGCUAUUCUCAAAUGUAAAGCCUCUUUCAGUGUUUCAGUAGGACAGACUGCUCCAGGUAUGAUUUGCAAGUCUUGAACAUGCAUCACCCUGUAUUUUCAAAGUAUUCCUGAGGGAUGGUAGGUCAUAAUAAACAACACUACUUGCUGACAAAUAAAUUCAAGUCAUACUAUAAGAGAAUAUUGUUGAAUACACAGUUCUGACCGACUUAAUAUGGUUUCUGUCUGUUGGAAAUAAUGGUUAAAAAGAUACGGUCAGUUAACAUCUGAAAGUUGAAUGUUUGACUUGUGUAAAAGGAAGUGAUUAAAUAAGUCCUGUAGAAAUAUAUUUAGUUCAUACUUCAUACCUGCAACAGACAAAUUCAAUUCUCCUUCCGCUUGCAAAUACAAAAAUAAUUGUUUCUGAACGUGAAGUAGGAUAGGGUAGCCACAGAGAAGGCUGAGGCUUCAUUCCACCUUUAACAGAAUGUGUCAUGAUUUGACUGAAGUUUACUGAAAGAAGUAGCAAGCAGAAAAGUCAGCUAGCACACAAAUAGACUUGUGCCCUUCAAACUAAUGAGCUUACCAGUGGCAUUCUCUGGAAUUGGUGCUCUUUUGGAAUUGCGAGGAACUUUUAUACCAGUUGUAUGUUGUUGUGCUUAAAGCUGUUGUAUUAACAGAAGUGUAAGAGAAAGCUUCUCUUGGCCUGCCAUGAGGACAUUAUCCAGCAGGUGGAGUUUGACAGGAUGGUGUGCACAGGCCAAGUAGACAAGUCAGUACCUUUCCUGGCUCAACCGCAAAGUCUGAUGCUAUAGAAGAAAUAUUGUUGUUUUGAGGCAAUGGCUGUAGAAAGAUUUAGCUGGUGAACCAAUGCUGAACUUCCUUGGCAGCCAGGGCCAAACUCAGUGUUUCUAUGGAACUGAUUUUCUGACCAGGCUGUGUCAUGGAAAGGAAAUGUAACUUGAGGAAGUACAGCUGUGGUGGAGGAACACGUGUGCUAGGCCCUAAGACCUGACUCUUGUAACAAGAACUAGAACAACAAAGACAAGAGAAGGAAAUUAAGGAAAGAAGGAUGACUCACAACUUGUAUAUUGAAGAUCACAUUCAGAAAUGGUGACAAGGAAGCUAUGAACAAAUCAAGAUUGAAAAAAAAGAAAAGAAAAAACAGCAUUUAUGCCAGGAAAACUCAAUUGUUUGAGUGCUCAUGGAAAAGAAAUGCAAGAGCUGCCUUGGUAUCACUAAAGCAAGUUCACUGAAAAAUAGGACACUUUGAGAAGGACUCAGAAACAGCAUUUGGAAUGGAGAACUCAAACUGCACUGUAGGCCGAACUAAUGCCUGAUAUUUAAGUAUAGGGGAGAUGUGGAGUUCUGAAGCUGAAAUUGAGAAGCCUGGAUCUGACAUGGAAUGUAAAGGAAUGACAAAACUGGAUGCCAAGAGGCAUUUUCAGCAGCAGUAUUGCCAGGACACUGAAGAAACCAGAGAGAAAAGCAGGAAAAUGGGAAAUGUCAAAAGUCUCUACCGUGGUCUCAGGAUCAGAGAGAGGAAGGAUGUUUCAGAGAACAAUCUGAAAGGGAAACGUGAGAUUUGGCAGCAGGUUAGCUAAGGAAGAAAUAGGCAGAAGAAAGUUUGAAAGAAGAGAAAAGCAUCUAACAAAGUUAUAAAUGUAUUUUUAGCUUGUUGGCUGGAAUUGAUAAGGCCCACCUUCAGUUGUACUGCUGGGACUGGAAACUGGGAGUACAGCCAGUGGUAAGAAGAGAUUUAGAUCACCUAAAGACACAUAGGACUUUCGGAAAUGUUGAGAGUAUGUGAUGUCAUUUAGAUGACAGAGACAACAGGCACAGAGCUUCCCUCAAGGCUGCAGGAGAAGGAAUUUUGUCUUUUAUCAGCUUAUUCAAUGAGAUGGAGUUGUGGAAAGAGGAGCUGCUACAUUAAAGAUUCUGUGAAGAUGAGAUUUGGAUUCUGUCAGUGUCUCCUUGGUCAUUUUGAUAAAGCUAGUUUCAGUGAAGGAAAGGGAAAGGUAUGCUGUCUAUUCAAAGGGACUAGAAUUAGUAGAGCAACAGGCAUAACUACUACACAAACCUCUGAAAUCAAAGUUUGGAGAGAGGUUCACAGGAACAGGUUUGGUAGCAAAGAUGAGAGGUGGAAAGUGAAAGAAGAGUCAGCUUGGGGAGUACUGUAGGCUGUCUCUACUGUAAGAUAAAUUCACAGCAAGCCCAGUAUGUCUAAGCAGUAUGAAUGAGCUUGUAUUUUAAUGCCCAAGAGGUGAGGGAAAAAAUAAAUUUCCUUUGGUUGAGAAGACAAAAAGUGGCUUCUUUCAUCCACCUGAGAAGGAGUAGGGCUGCAGGCACGGUAGACAAGAAGUCAGAUGCUGUGGCAUGCCAACUGCCAAGACACCUAGCAAGUCUGUCUUUCCUUGUCCUCCUGUGUUGUUUUUUUAUCACCCUGCUGGUCUGCAAGGUUAUAUGCUGCUUCUUUUUUUCCCCCAUCCUGAUUACUGCUUGCUUUGCUAAUAAGGGAAUAAUGAUGAGGAAGUAUGUCAUACAAAUUGUUAGACAAAGAUAAGGAUGGCUACAGGGAUAGCGCCAACUGAGAAGGCAGCAACAGUGAAAUUGACUGUUUUUAGUAAUCACAUGAGAAGAAAUACAUGCUUUUGUUUUCAGAGUAAACAUUUUACUGUCUAGAUGGAAAAGUCCAGCAGCCAAAGUUGUUAUUACAAGCUGAUUUAAAGACACAGGUGAGGAAGUACUUGAAGAUAUUUGUUUGCUUCGUGUUGGCUUUAUAAGAUGUGGCUUACUGGUUUCUGAAGGCUUGAAAAUGUCUUGCAGUUUUUCAUGUUGACUGGUAAAUCCUUUUGUGCCUAGAGUGCCAUCCCCUCAUAGAGUCACUGUUCAUAAUACUGAACUAUGACUGUAUAUGAGAAGGAUGGUUGUACAAUCAGAGGGUCUGAAAAACUGCUAUGUCUGUUGUUCUUAAUACUCUUAAGGCUUUAUAAUGCACUGUAUUUUCUGAACUGAUGCAAGAACAAGCCUUUGAUGAUAGAAAAACUGAAGUUUAUAGUACAGAAGGAAGUGUGAAUUGAUUUUGCCAAUUUGGGAAAUGAAAUAGGUAGUACAGAAGUUCUUAGACCCACUUUCCCAGUUGAAAAGCACUUAGGUAAAACUGGACAAAAAGCCAGAGGAGAACUAAGUGAAAUUUCACACUCAGUGAGAUGCCUCACGUCUGAGCAACCAGCCAGACCUUAGUGUUUUAAUAUCCCUAAUCUAUUCUGUGCUUUAAUGAGAUCUUGAGCUAUUGGCUCUGAAGAUUAUUAGUGCCCUGGUGAAUAGCCAUUCAAUCUUCAGGCAUGUGAUGAGAAUUUGCUUCCUCUUUCAAUCCUUCAGCUUCUUGGCUAGAAUUUAUUAUUUCCCUAAAUAAAAGCAGCUGCAAAAUUUCAUUAGGUGUUAUAGUACCCCUUUCUGCUGUAUUUAACCUUGUCUCAUUAAAUAGAUUACAUCCUUGCCUCUUGUAAUUAAGUGCAAAUCAAACACAAUAUUUUAAUAUUAUAUUAAAAAUGUAAGAAAUAGGACGCCUUUUCAGCUGCCAUUCUGAAAUUCCUGAAGGCAGGAGUGCUACUUUGACAGUGACAAAUUCUUCCAGAAACAUCUGGUCUAUAAAGUACAUUUUCUCCUUAUAGAUCUGAUAGUAAAAUCAUAAAUACCAAAGACAAAGUGUUCUGUUCUGUCACACUUGAAUUCCAUUUAAAGAGAGUUCUUUAUCUAUUUCAUCUGUUCAGUAUCUGAGUGAUUUAACUACCUGCAAAGGCUUCUGUUGAGUAUGGGUUUUCUGGACACCAGCGAUCUUAAAUAUUAGAAGAGCUCAGGCUGUAGAGAAAAAAAAAAAAACAUGAAUCUAAUAAUGGGUUGUGUAUUAAUUCAGCAAGCCUUUGGUUUUAUUUAAUAAGCAAAGAAAAAUUAUACUUCCACAAUCUACUGAGAGUCCAGUCAAACUAUGUGAUAAAUACUGACAAGAAAAAAUUAUCUUGCAUGUUCUAAAGUUGGGUCAAGAGAAGCACUAUGAACCCACACCUUCCUUAUGUGAACUUGCUAAGUCCCACGUCUAAAUUUCAUCCAUUUAACAUUUGUCACAUGACUGGGGUCCUUCAGUUAAGUUCUUUGCAGAAAUAAAAGAGGAAUUGUCUGUUUGAGGGCUUUGAUGUUGCAUCUCUCUUGAAAGCACCUUUCUCCCUGUGCUGACUGUAAGGUUGUGCAGGGCAGCAAUGCUGAUCUGAAGUUGGAGAUGUAAGUUCAGUGGUAUUCUUUGUGCUCAAUGUAACCAAAAUGCACUGUGUGUCUCCAUCCUAUACCUUUGGAGUUAAGCAUUAGGUAAAUAUAGAGCAUUUCCCCAAGUUUGUUUCAGGUAUGAACUAUGUGUAUGCUAUUAGCUAUCUCUGUAUCCAGGAGAGAUUUAUGUUGAUAAUAUUAUCAUUAACUCUAAUUUGAUUUCAAACUGAGUCACUGAUUACAUGGUUUCUAAGUCUCAGAUUCUGCUUCCUUGGGGAAGCAGAGGUGAGAAAGUUUGCAUGCUAUUGCAUAUAUAAUUAAAAACCACUUCCCAUUAUGCAUAUAUGCUGUCCCUGCCCUGCUAUACUGUCCUUUGCUCCUUUGCACCUUUUCCAUCCUAGCUGGUAGUGAUGCAGCAGCAGUCAGUCCGUUCUGUUACGUGUGCCUGAGUCGGGCUGCAGCCUUUUCUUAACAAGAGCCAAGGGCAGGUAUCAUGCUGCUCUGAUUUACCUGCAUGGCUGCGUUAGACCCAGUCAUUUCAAAGUUCUUAAUGAUGGCAAUUUAUCAAACAAGCCUUAAAAUAAUAGGCACCGUUUCCAAAAUGCCAUGGCAUUAGCAACCCACUCUUUAUGGAGUGGCAUAAUGUUUUCUUAAAAAAUAUGUAAUGAACAAAUAAAUAACAACAACAACAAAAAACCUCAAAAAGAAAUAAGAAAAACACCUCCCCCACCCCAUGUUUGGAACAAGCUCGAUACGUGGUAUGUUUUCACAUUGUUUAGUACAGUCUGAAAAUUGCCUAAGUGCACAAAAUGGGUCACCCUGAUUAUGUUUUGAGGCUGUGAAUUCUUGCAAGAAGUUGUUAAUGCACGAGCAGUCCUGCUCAGCAGAGUACGUUACAGCAGGAGCACGGCUACAGCUUACUGUGGGAGGUGGGAAGUGGCUCAGUUUGAGAUCGGAUGAGAACAGCCAACUAUUUCACCUGAAAAGAUCUCUCUCUAGAGGAAGGUCAGGCUAAUUCUGCUAGAAUUGUGCAAACCAGUAAUUUGAAGUGCUCCUUGCAGUGAAUCGAUGGAUGUGCAUUACUUUGUUGAAGUGUGCAUUAAUGUUUGUAGGUAUUAACACUUAAAAUACAUUCCUUGCUCUCUCUUAGUUGAUAAUGUCAUCUCUGGAAGUGUUUAGCAAAUUAUAAAAUGUAAUCGAUACGUAUAUUUGUGUGUGCAUGGCUUAUAUUUGUCUCUUUUUGAGAGGGCAAGCCUUAGGCUGAAGUGCUUGCUAUUUUGCAAAGCCUUGAGGACUGUACUGACCUGG
ensembl:lncRNA